AAGACGCCUUAGGGUAUAGGGAUUUCAUCCAUGAACUUUUAGAAAGCGUCGGGCAUUGAAUGGCUUCAGAGUACCCUACCCCUUCCAUUUACCGGGCGAUUGGUUUCCCUGUCUGUUUCACUUGAAGUCUACUAUUUUAAGCCCACACUUUUGAGAAGAAGGAAUCCCAAACACGCCCUUCGUCUCGCAGGUCAGUUUUCUGUAACCCUAAUUUUUCUAUUAAUGGUGAACGGCAUACUGCAAUGGAUUCGAAGGGUAUUCAGAUUGAAGCCAUCUCAGAUUAAACUCGCAAUAACGAGGACAGUGAUUUGUUUUCAUUUUAGGUAUGUUUUUGCAGUUUGAUGCUCUAAUUGGUAUUAUGUUAUUUCAAUUAUUCGCCCCAAUCCUCAAAAUUUCCUUUUGAAUUCGCUUGCUUUCCUCUGUUUCGGUUGAUUAAUUGAACACCCGUUUCGAUUUCACAGUGUUUGUUUCGAAUUUUGAGUUUUGCCUAUUAGGGUUUUAGCAUGAUAAUCAAGAGGAAGUUGAAAUUGGCAAUGCUAAUUUAAUCAAGUGCAGUUUUCCCGAUUGUGGUUCAAAGCAAGCUUCAUUGCGGAAGAUAAUCAACCGAUGCCGACCGUAAUCGUCGAAGAACUUCAACUAAUUUAGCAUAAAUUUUCCUUUUCCAUUACCUGUUUGACAUCAACUGUCUUCGACUGCUGAAUUUAUACGCAAAGCAAAACUGUCACAAACCAUGGUGGAAGGAAUCAAUGGAUAAGGUACUUCCCACAAGGACACAGUGAACAGUAAAAAAAAACAAGAAGGCGUACCCGUUCUUCUCAUACAGGUCAUUCACGUGAUACCGCAAAAUGGGUGGAUCCAGACAAGGCAAGCUCAUCGAGAUAGUCCUACACCAAUACUUCUAUCAGUAUUUCUCGACAUAAUUCAACCAAGAUACGAUCAAAAUCGGCUGCAAUGGAUAGGGCCAGAAGUAGUUAGUGAAGAUUGCGAGCUCUUAUUCGCUUCUUAACGGAACUGUAUGUCUUUCUAAAUAGAGGAGAUGUGAAUCCACAUGCUCAAGAGGUUUUAUUUCUUUUUUAUUAUCGUCACUUGGUUUUUAAAUUUUUUUGAAGCACUAUUAUAUGUGCUGGAUAUAAGCAACUCAGUCUUCUGGCAUCAAUCAACAGAAGCAGCAGUCACUUUAGUUGGGGCCUGAUGAUCAUCUCUAUCUGGAAGGAUUUGCAUCAAAUGUCUUUGCAAAGGCCGAUAAGCAAGACCGGCUGGAAGAGCUGACAUGUAUGAUAUGCUCUACUUCUUAUGAUAUAGUUAUUGUAACAUUGGCUUACUAAAGAUUUAGCACACUAAGAAUGAUUUAAUGUGCUUAAAAAGGCUUCCAAAUUCAUAUGCCAUGGGCUCGUACAUAUAAGAAACUCUCUCUUUUUUAGCAAUUCCUCAUGAAAAACAACCGCCGCCUCUGGUUGAAGUUUAA